GGGGCGGGGCCUGAAGCCCGUCCUGUGCAUUUAAAGGGCCGGCACUCCAAACCACCUCUGUGUUGUCAUUGGUCAGAAAUAGUGUUGAAGGCGGAGCUGUGGAGCUGAACGAAUGAAGAAUUCACAGCAAAGCACA